AGAGUUUGAUCCUGGCUCGGAUUGAACGCUGGNGGCAGGCCUAACACAUGCAAGUCGAGCGGUAGAGAGAAGCUUGCUUCUCUUGAGAGCGGCGGACGGGUGAGUAAAGCCUAGGAAUCUGCCUGGUAGUGGGGGAUAACGUUCGGAAACGGACGCUAAUACCGCAUACUUCCUACGGGAGAAAGCAGGGGACCUUCGGGCCUUGCGCUAUCAGAUGAGCCUAGGUCGGAUUAGCUAGUUGGUGAGGUAAUGGCUCACCAAGGCGACGAUCCGUAACUGGUCUGAGAGGAUGAUCAGUCACACUGGAACUGAGACACGGUCCANACUCCUACGGGAGGCAGCAGUGGGGAAUAUUGGACAAUGGGCGAAAGCCUGAUCCAGCCAUGCCGCGUGUGUGAAGAAGGUCUUCGGAUUGUAAAGCACUUUAAGUUGGGAGGAAGGGCAUUAACCUAAUACGUUAGUGUUUUGACGUUACCGACAGAAUAAGCACCGGGCUAACUCUGUGCCAGCAGCCGCGGUAAUACAGAGGGUGCAAGCGUUAAUCGGAAUUACUGGGGCGUAAAGCGCGCGUANGUGGUUUGUUAAGUUGGAUGUGAAAUCCCCGGGCUCAACCUGGGAACUGCAUUCAAAACUGACUGACUANAGUAUGGUAGAGGGUGGUGGAAUNUCCUGUGUAGCGGUGAAAUGNGUAGAUAUAGGA
rnacentral:rRNA from 1 species